ACGCCUCGACAUCCUGUCCAUG
rnacentral:miRNA from 1 species